GUAGUACAGUAUUUUAUCUGUGUUUUUAUAACAGUCAAAGGAGAACUUGAGUGGUAGAAAGUUGUCCCAGAAAUAGAAGAAGGUUUCCCCAGCAAUACAAUGCAGUUGUAAUUAUUUUAAGUAUGUCUACAACAUCACCAACCGUAAUCCACAUUCAUGGCGAUUGUCAUACUCUACAGUGUGGUACAGACAACACAAUAAUUGAAAAUAGCACCCAGUCUGAAAUAAAUGACUUGAUUUCAAAAUUGGAAAGAAGAAACGAUCAAGAAAUGAAAGAAGUAAAAGACAGGAUGGCUGACCUGGAAGCAUUUAAGAAGAAAGUUAUAGAACAAUUAGAAGUUGCGACCAACACUAAUAAUGGAUGUUGUAAGAGGAAAACGAGUGAUGAUAUUACUCUAAACGCAGUGGACAAUCACAAAUAUGAAGUUGUGGAUUCUAUAACUGUCAGUAAGAAAGUCAGUGUCAAUGAUUUAAAGAGGUUGAUAGAAAAGAAGAAGAAUGUCAAGAUUGGCCACAUUGUUAUAGAGAGCUAUAAAGAUGGGAGUUGGAUAUAUGUCUACAAAAGAUAUAACAUCCACAAGAACGACUAUAGCUUGGAAGAACUUGGGGUUUUAGACCAGGACUGGGUUUACUAUUACGCAUAGUAAAAUAUGGUGAUAUUUGAUGGGAUUCUUCACACGUCUUUCGUGCAUUGUGCA